rnacentral:rRNA from 1 species
UUUGUGGAGAGUUUGAUCCUGGCUCAGGACGAACGCUGGCGGCGUGCUUAACACAUGCAAGUCGAACGGAAAGGCCCUGCUUGCAGGGUACUCGAGUGGCGAACGGGUGAGUAACACGUGGGUGAUCUGCCCUGCACUUCGGGAUAAGCCUGGGAAACUGGGUCUAAUACCGGAUAGGAGCCAUUUUUAGUGUGAUGGUUGGAAAGUUUUUUCGGUGUAGGAUGAGCUCGCGGCCUAUCAGCUUGUUGGUGGGGUAAUGGCCUACCAAGGCGGCGACGGGUAGCCGGCCUGAGAGGGUGGACGGCCACAUUGGGACUGAGAUACGGCCCAGACUCCUACGGGAGGCAGCAGUGGGGAAUAUUGCACAAUGGGCGCAAGCCUGAUGCAGCGACGCCGCGUGGGGGAUGACGGCCUUCGGGUUGUAAACUCCUUUCGCUAGGGACGAAGCUUUUUGUGACGGUACCUAGAUAAGAAGCACCGGCUAACUACGUGCCAGCAGCCGCGGUAAUACGUAGGGUGCGAGCGUUGUCCGGAAUUACUGGGCGUAAAGGGCUCGUAGGUGGUUUGUCGCGUCGUCUGUGAAAUUCCGGGGCUUAACUCCGGGCGUGCAGGCGAUACGGGCAUAACUUGAGUACUGUAGGGGUAACUGGAAUUCCUGGUGUAGCGGUGAAAUGCGCAGAUAUCAGGAGAAGGCUAAAACUCAAAGGAAUUGACGGGGGCCCGCACAAGCGGCGGAGCAUGUGGAUUAAUUCGAUGCAACGCGAAGAACCUUACCUGGGCUUGACAUACACCGGAUCGGGCUAGAGAUAGUCUUUCCCUUUGUGGCUGGUGUACAGGUGGUGCAUGGUUGUCGUCAGCUCGUGUCGUGAGAUGUUGGGUUAAGUCCCGCAACGAGCGCAACCCUUGUCUUAUGUUGCCAGCAUUUGGUUGGGGACUCAUGAGAGACUGCCGGGGUCAACUCGGAGGAAGGUGGGGAUGACGUCAAAUCAUCAUGCCCCUUAUGUCCAGGGCUUCACACAUGCUACAAUGGUCGGUACAACGCGCAGCGACACUGUGAGGUGGAGCGAAUCGCUGAAAGCCGGCCUUAGUUCGGAUUGGGGUCUGCAACUCGACCCCAUGAAGUCGGAGUCGCUAGUAAUCGCAGAUCAGCAACGCUGCGGUGAAUACGUUCCCGGGCCUUGUACACACCGCCCGUCACGUCAUGAAAGUUGGUAACACCCGAAGCCGGUGGCCCAAACUUGUUAGGGAGCCGUCGAAGGUGGGAUCGGCGAUUGGGACGAAGUCGUAACAAGGUACCCGUACCGGAAGGUGCGGGUGGAUCACCUCCUUU